GGUGAACGCUGGCGGCGUGCUUAAGACAUGCAAGUCGAACGGCAGUCUUCGGACUGUAGUGGCGCACGGGUGAGUAACGCGUAACUGACCUACCCCAAAGUCGCGGAUAACGAUUCGAAAGAAUCGCUAAUACGUGAUGUGCUGUCAGAUUGUGUUCUGCCAGUAAAGAUUGAUUGCUCUGGGAGGGGGUUGCGUUCCAUCAGCGAGUUGGUGGGGUAAAGGCCCACCAAGGCGACGACGGAUAGCCGGCCUGAGAGGGUGGCCGGCCACAGGGGCACUGAGACACGGGUCCCACUCCUACGGGAGGCAGCAGUUAGGAAUCUUCCACAAUGGGCGAAAGCCUGAUGGAGCGACGCCGCGUGAGGGAUGAAGGUCUUCGGAUCGUAAACCUCUGAAUCAGGGACGAAAGACACUUCGGUGGGAUGACGGUACCUGAGUAAUAGCACCGGCUAACUCCGUGCCAGCCGCCGCCGUAAAAC
rnacentral:rRNA from 1 species